CGUUGCCGGAGCUACCAUGCAGUCGAGCGGUAGCACAGAGAGCUUGCUCUCGGGUGACGAGCGGCGGACGGGUGAGUAAUGUCUGGGAAACUGCCUGAUGGAGGGGGAUAACUACUGGAAACGGUAGCUAAUACCGCAUAACGUCGCAAGACCAAAGUGGGGGACCUUCGGGCCUCAUGCCAUCAGAUGUGCCCAGAUGGGAUUAGCUAGUAGGUGGGGUAACGGCUCACCUAGGCGACGAUCCCUAGCUGGUCUGAGAGGAUGACCAGCCACACUGGAACUGAGACACGGUCCAGACUCCUACGGGAGGCAGCAGUGGGGAAUAUUGCACAAUGGGCGCAAGCCUGAUGCAGCCAUGCCGCGUGUAUGAAGAAGGCCUUCGGGUUGUAAAGUACUUUCAGCGGGGAGGAAGGCGAUAAGGUUAAUAACCUUGUCGAUUGACGUUACCCGCAGAAGAAGCACCGGCUAACUCCGUGCCAGCAGCCGCGGUAAUACGGAGGGUGCAAGCGUUAAUCGGAAUUACUGGGCGUAAAGCGCACGCAGGCGGUCUGUCAAGUCGGAUGUGAAAUCCCCGGGCUCAACCUGGGAACUGCAUUCGAAACUGGCAGGCUAGAGUCUUGUAGAGGGGGGUAGAAUUCCAGGUGUAGCGGUGAAAUGCGUAGAGAUCUGGAGGAAUACCGGUGGCGAAGGCGGCCCCCUGGACAAAGACUGACGCUCAGGUGCGAAAGCGUGGGGAGCAAACAGGAUUAGAUACCCUGGUAGUCCACGCCGUAAACGAUGUCGAUUUGGAGGUUGUGCCCUUGAGGCGUGGCUUCCGGAGCUAACGCGUUAAAUCGACCGCCUGGGGAGUACGGCCGCAAGGUUAAAACUCAAAUGAAUUGACGGGGGCCCGCACAAGCGGUGGAGCAUGUGGUUUAAUUCGAUGCAACGCGAAGAACCUUACCUGGUCUUGACAUCCACAGAACUUGCCAGAGAUGCCUUGGUGCCUUCGGGAACUGUGAGACAGGUGCUGCAUGGCUGUCGUCAGCUCGUGUUGUGAAAUGUUGGGUUAAGUCCCGCAACGAGCGCAACCCUUAUCCUUUUGUUGCCAGCGGGUUCGGCCCGGAAA
rnacentral:rRNA from 1 species